ensembl:lncRNA LINC01968 long intergenic non-protein coding RNA 1968
AACACAAGAGGCAAAGAUCACUCGGGACCACCUUGUAUAUUGGCUACCACAGAACCCAACACAAGCAGUAAGUUAAAAUCAUGAAGCUCCUGACGUCAGAGGACAUGGCUCUGCCAUUUGUUAGGUAGGGAUCCUGUUAAAGGCUCAGCUUCCUCAUCUGGAAAUGGAAAUAUAGGCCUUGCCUGGUUUGCUGUAAUGGGUCGUGAUGAGGACCAAACUACAAAGAGUGGUACAGAUGUUAAUUACAAUGAUUUUUCCUAUGCCACCCAUGGAAACAAAAAUAGCAAGAUAGAGAAGGCUAAAUCCCAGUUUUUUUUGACUGCUAUUCAGCAAAGCCUAGGAGACUUUCAUGACACCUGGAGAGGCGGCCGUAGUGUAUGUGUAAGAGUACCGGUUCCAGAGUGGGGCUCCCCGAGCUCAGCCCCACCACUUACCAACAGCGGACCUUGGGCCAGAUGCUGAAGCCCUUUGUGCCUUGGUUUCCUGACCUAUUACUGUGGAAAUGAUGACAGUACCCUCCUCAUGGCAUCGUGAGAAUUAAAUUAGCUAAUUCAGGUGAAGCAUUUAGAAGAGGACCUCCUGACACUUAAUAACUGCUUGAUAUAAAUAAUAGCUUCUGCUACAGAGUGGCCAUGAAGUCUGGACAUGUAGAUAUUAUAUUAUCAUGCAUCAUAAGGUAGUUGAUCUGGUGUGAGAUUCCAACCUCGUGUGAGAGAGGAGAAGACCUUCAUUACACUAAUUCAUGCUGGCCCAGCCUCCAGGCCACCCCAGAUGUGAGGUGCUGUUAACACUGCUCUCAGAGAUGGAGUCUUGCUCUGUCUCCCAGGCUGGAGUGCAGUGGUGUAAUCUCGGCUCACUGCAACCUCUGCCUCCCGGGUUCAAGUGAUUCUCCUGCCUCAGCCUCGGAGUAGCUGGGACCACAGAUGGAAAGUCAGUGUAUCACCAAGUGAUCCAUCUCUGUGGGAAUAAAAAGUAUCUGUUAAUUCCA